CUUUAGUUAGCUUAUAUUGAAAGCAUUAAACUCUUAAUUUAAAUAAAGUUGUAUUACCAAUCACUACUAAAGA
rnacentral:tRNA from 1 species